UUGGAAAGCCUUGUUGUUGUUGCUGCUGUUUUUUUUUUUUUUUUUCCUAGGCUGCACCAUCUUCUUUACGACGGCCUUCUCUCCGUUUCUCUGUGUGUGAAUGUGCAGGAUGGGGCACUGAUAAUAAGGCUAUGUGCUGUUGUCUCGUCAGAUUUAUUGCCGUUCUUUCGCCCUUGUAGCUUCCAUAGAGAGGACGUGAAAAAGGAGGCAGACACAAAGGAGAUGUCGUAAAAAUUUCGUAAAAAACAAAACGCAACAAAAGACUAAAUCAAUGAUUGUCCUCGUGUGAGUAGACCAGAGUGAACCUGACUUCACACCUCACCUCUAAAGACUCUGCUUCUUUCAGGCAGUCCAGGCCAGGCAGGGUCAUCAGAGACAGGUUUCACGGCCACCUCCUUGUGACGUCUGCUGCUCCGCGCCUGGUUUCCCCUAGCACUCUUGAAGGCCUC